rnacentral:rRNA from 1 species
AACUAGAAGAGCAUCUAAGGCCAUACCACCCUGAACACGCCCGAUCUUGUCUCUUCUUGGAAGCUAAGCAGGGUCGGGCCAUGGUUAGUACAUGGAUGGGAGACCAACAGGGAAUACCAGGUGCUUU